CAGAGAACCGCGACGUGGCGUAUGGUGGACUAUAAUUUUUUUUUUUUUUUCCAUUUCUUCUCUCUUCUUCCCGACUCUCUCUUUCUUCUCUCUCCUUCUGAACGCGAUAGAAGAUGCAAUUCAUCCAAAAUUCAGGAAAUUCAAUCGAUUCCCGACAUCGAUUGAAUUAGCCAAUUUAUCGAUUCACCGGAAACAUAGUCGGAGACAGCAACGGGGAACAAUUGCCGGAGGAAGAGGUCAGUGACGUCGAUCAAAAUUUCCAAUGGAGUCACUGCUUUUAUCCGGAAACAGAAUCAAUCGGACCGAGUCAAGAAAGGUUUGAUUCUGCAUGAUCAUGUGAAGAAUUGGGUCAAGAGAAGAGUGGAUUCUGGAGUUUCUGAGACGAGAUGUUUCCUCCCUUUUCUUGUUGGGGCCAAGACAAUGGUACUUUUUUUUUUUGUGUUUCUGUUUGUCUAGUUAUAAAGUUUGUGUGAAAUAUUUGAUUAGUAUUGGAUUGUGAAUUUACCCUUUUUGGCUUUAGUGAACUCCGUGUAAGAUUUCAUAUGUUUUCUCAAAUUCAGAUAUGGUUUGGCUAUCAGAUUUUAGAGUUAUUGUUUAUCAAUCUUGAAGUCAACUACUGACUUGUGAAGUUGUUAGAUUUAUUGAUUAGGUAGGGAAUUGAAAUGGAUUAGUUUGAUUGGGACAUGGGGAGAGCUUAGGAUGCUCUAGAAUUCACCUUAGGACUCUUUCGUUUGGUUGUCCUGUGUUUGUCACUUGUAUUCAGAUUUAGAGAGGAAUAAAGGAAGAUAUUGAUUCUGGUUCUUAUCAGCUUUUCUGAUGAGAAAACAGCUGAGUAGCAAUAGAAAACCUUGCUAAGUCUGAUAUUUAUGCUUAGACUAUGUUUUCACAAUGAGUUUUUCAUUACGUAGUGAUAGCAGGAAUGCUAAUAGUACAAACAAUAACACUUUCCGAUUUAUGGUGCUUUACAAGACAGUGAACUUUUGUUGUAUAGGGUUUAACCGUUUGUUGUCUUGUUUGAUUGUUGUUCAGACUGUUGUUCUAUGAUCAAAAGGUAUGAACUUCUCAUGUCUGUUUAGUAGUAUAGGGUUUAACCGUUUGUUGUCUUGUUUGAUUGUGAGAAUGUUAGAUGUUUUUUUUAUUGUGACCCGCGUGUUGUUGUUAGGAGUACAGUUGAUUUUUUGCUUGAUGUUUUGUUAAUGUUAUAGUGUGAUUAACAUUCACUCUUUUGCCAUGUUUUGUGCGAGGUUUAUACCAACUGGACAAUGGGUUUUAAUGGUGAAGAGGGGUGUUCAUCAGCUUGACAUUGGGAGUGGAUUCUCGUAGUUGAAAAGAUAAACAAUGUGGGAGCUAUUCGGUCAAAGCCGACGGUGGACUAUACAGCAGAGAAUUUCUCGUUUCAUAUUUCGACCAACUUAGAAUCUGCUUAUCAUCUGAGCCAGCUUGCGCAUCCUCUGCUUAAGACUUCCGGAAGUGGGAACAUCGUGUUCAUGUCUUCUAUUGCUGGAGUUGUAUAGCUUUAUGUUGGUUCCAUCUACUCUGCAACAAAAGGUAAUAUACUAAAUUAUGGAAGAACACAAAAAAAAAACCUCUCUGCUUCUUUGUAUCUUACAAUAGUUUUCACAUGUAAAUAUAACAAAGCCAUAAAAAAGAAACCUCUAUUUUGAAUUUUGUAAAAUAUGUUUAAUAUUCCAAAGUUUGUAAAA